UACGCAGGGUGCGAGCGUUAAUCGGAAUUACUGGGCGUAAAGCGUGCGCAGGCGGUUCGUUGUGUCGGCGGUGAAAGCCCCGGGCUUAACCUGGGAACGGCCGUUGAAACUGGCGAACUGGAGUGUGGCAGAGGGGGGUGGAAUUCCGCGUGUAGCAGUGAAAUGCGUAGAGAUGCGGAGGAACACCGAUGGCGAAGGCAGCCCCCUGGGCUAACACUGACGCUCAGGCACGAAAGCGUGGGGAGCAAACAGG
rnacentral:rRNA from 1 species